rnacentral:rRNA from 1 species
GAUAAACGCUGGCGGCGUGCAUAACACAUUCAAGUCGAACGGGAAUCGGAUGAUUGAGACUUCGGUUGAUUGAAUUCGAGGAUAGUGGCGGACGGGUGAGUAACGCGUGAGCAACCUGCCUUCAUGAGGGGGAUAACAGUUGGAAACGACUGCUAAUACCGCAUAACGUGUGUAGAUGGCAUCUGAAACACAUCAAAGGAGCAAUCCGCAUGAAGAUGGGCUCGCGUCCGAUUAGGUAAGUUGGUGAGGUAACGGCUCACCAAGCCGACGAUCGGUAGCCGGACUGAGAGGUUGAACGGCCACAUUGGGACUGAGACACGGCCCAGACUCCUACGGGAGGCAGCAGUGGGGGAUAUUGCGCAAUGGGGGCAACCCUGACGCAGCAACGCCGCGUGAAGGAAGAAGGUUUCGGAUUGUAAACUUCUUUUAUUAGGGACGAAAUUUGACGGUACCUAAUGAAUAAGCUCCGGCUAACUACGUG